rnacentral:lncRNA from 1 species
CUGAGGUUCUAGAAUCAUUACUGAGGAAGGAGAGAGAAUAUCUUUGACUUCAAUAUAUGGAAUUAUUAAGGAUCUCAAUAGGGUCACAUAAUUGAAUGUUGUGAACUUUAAAGGAGGAGAGACUUGUGAGUGAUGGUGGCAGAACAGUACAGAAUACAAUUUGCAGGCUUUGCCAGGCUCUCUUCCAGGAACUAGGGCAUAGAAUGGUUACAGAUGAAAGACCACUUCCUGUGUAUAUUGAAAAGAAGUUUUGAAUAACAAGCAAGAUGGCACUGUCUUCAAUAAUUAAUACAGCCUGUGAGGAAAAUAGCUUGGAAAGACAGACCAGAAAAGAAGAAG